ACCAGCAGUUGUCAGCUUUCCAGGCCAGUGUGAUGCCUGUGAUGGUGUUACACUGUUGGAAGAGGAAGCACUACCUUUACUGUGGUCUGGCCCCAAGCACUGUUUUGGUGAUGAGGGCAAGUACCUAUAGGGCAGUGUUUUGCACCUCUGAGAGUGGAGUGGCUCCCUUUGUGGGCUUGGUCCUAGUCUGGGUGCAAACAGU
ensembl:snoRNA SNORA74 Small nucleolar RNA SNORA74